AGAUGGCAUUGUUUGAGAAAGUCAGGGCUGGGCCUGGACUAGCAACAACUUAGUGAGUUGGGACAUCAGUCAGUCUUUCUGAGUUUCAUUUUUCUCAUGUCAAUACUAACACCUGUCCUGGUCCACAGAAAUUUUCUUGAAGACUUCUGAGAACAAAAAAUAGGUAACAAACAUGAAGAGCCUUAAUACCAGCUGAUUUGUGUCUCUCCUUCCAAAAUUCAUAUAUUAAAGUUCUAACCCCUAGUAC
rnacentral:lncRNA from 1 species